GCCUACGGCCAUACCACCCUGAAAGCGCCCGCUUUCGUCUGAUCUAGGAAGCUAAGCAGGGACGGGCCUGGUUAGUACCUGGAUGGGAGACCGCCUGGGAAUACCAGGUGUUGUAGGCU
rnacentral:rRNA from 1 species